rnacentral:rRNA from 1 species
UGUGCACCGGAAUAGCUCCUGGAAACGGGUGGUAAUACCGGAUGCUCCGCUCCAUCSCAUGGUGGGGUGGGAAAUGCUUUUGCGGCAUGGGAUGGGGUCGCGUCCUAUCAGCUUGUUGGCGGGGUGAUGGCCCACCARGGCGUUGACGGGUAGCCGGCCUGAGAGGGUGACCGGCCACAUUGGGACUGARAUCGGCCCAGACUCCUACGGGAGGCAGCAGUGGGGAAUAUUGCACAAUGGGCGMAAGCCUGAUGCAGCGACGCCGCGUGCGGGAUGGAGGCCUUCGGGUUGUAAACCGCUUUUGUUCAAGGGSAAGGCACGGUUUCGGCCGUGUUGAGUGGAUUGUUCGAAUAARCACCGGCUAACUACGUGCCAGCAGCCGCGGUAAUACGUAGGGUGCGAGCGUUAUCCGGAUUUAUUGGGCGUAAAGGGCUCGUAGGCGGUUCSUCGCGUCCGGUGUGAAAGUCCAUCGCCUAACGGUGGAUCUGCGCCGGGUACGGGSGGGCUGGAGUGCGGUAGGGGAMACUGGAAUUCCCGGUGUAACGG